AUUGAACGCUGGCGGCAGGCCUAACACAUGCAAGUCGAACGAGUGGCGGACGGGUGAGUAAUGUCUGGGAAACUGCCUGAUGGAGGGGGAUAACUACUGGAAACGGUAGCUAAUACCGCAUACCAUCAGAUGUGCCCAGAUGGGAUUAGCUUGUUGGUGGGGUAACGGCUCACCAAGGCGACGAUCCCUAGCUGGUCUGAGAGGAUGACAAACAACAUUGGAACGGAGAGAGGGUCCAGAUUCGGACGGGAGGAAGCAGUGGGGAAUUGUGCAAAAUGGGCGCAAGCCUUAUGGAGCAAGGCGGCGUGUAUGAAGAAGGCCUGCGGGUUGUAAAGUGCUUUCGGCGGGGAGGCGUUACCCGCAGAAAAAGCGCCGGCUAACUCCGUGCCAGCGGCCGCGGUAAUAC
rnacentral:rRNA from 1 species